UCUUUUUCUCCCUCUUUCCAAGACAAACUAGAUAAGAUGCAGAUUCGAUCAGGCGAAGAUGUGAGUGACCUCAACUAUGAUUAUGACAAUAAACAGUGCGUAGCACAUGGUGGAAAUUGGUGGAUGGGAUGGUGGACAGCGGAUGGGAUAAUGAUGCAGCGGCUGCGUGACUAAUGUGAACAGAACUCGAAACUCUAAAGGAACUAGACACUAAGACCAGCAACUCGACACGGCGAUGCAACCGAUAAUUCAAUAAUGCAAACAAUGAAAAGAAAAUUGCAAAGGCUCAGUCUGGCUAGGACAAAGGAUGAAUAGAUCUAACUUUUGUUUUGUGGCUUUUUCUUGGACAAUAGGUAAGAAAAUAAAUCUAAUCUAGGAAAAACUGGAAAUUCUCACCGAGCAACCUGAAAACUGAUACCACUUGAUAGAGGCGAGGGUGUCCCGAUCUUUCGAUGAGAUGAUAACUAUCGAUUUGGUGGAGACGACUUUGAUGAUCCGACUACAAACGUGCACGACGUUGCGCCUUAGCAAUCGCUAAACCAAUCUCCUGAGGUUACUGACGAUGCCGGAAGCACAGUCAGCCUGACCACGAAGGUGUAUUCCUGCAAGCAAUCGAAGAACGAGCAAGAAUAUGAUAAAGCAAUCUGAAUAUUGCAAAUAUAUAUGAGGUAUUGAUAAUGGUGGGGAUCCGUAAGCGGUCUUGGUCUGGUCGUUGGACACAAACGAAGUACACGAAGUUGUAAUGGCUAACUUUUAACUAAACAAAUCCCCAGGAAAAGCUACUAGAUGGAUCUACUUAUAUAGGAGCAAGGGGUGGCGGCCAAGGAGGUGGGAGGACGUCCCAAGGCAGCCUAAAACUAAAUCUAGGUCGUACAAGGCCAUGGGCCCAAGUGGAGGUGAUGUAACACCUUUGGACUUGUAGUUUGACUCGGAUUCUGCUGCAGCAUCAGAUUGUUUUGUCCACAACUCAACGCUCCGGACGAAUUUGAAGGUGAUUCCAAUUGGGUUGGAAAGUGCACGAAAUCUAGUUUCCAAUGCAAAAAGAAUCACCCAAUUCGGAGUCCGUAUGGAAAACUUGUGUGCAUUUUGAGUCAGGUAUGUCUGUGCAGUCCGAAUCUGAAUCCAGAACGUGAGAGACUUGGACUCUAUCUUUUCUUGGGCCAAAAGUGACGUGAGAGAACUUUUUGGACAGCAAAUAAACAUCUCUUUCUUCCUUAUCUUCAUAUGUGGAUUGUACAAAUGUCCCAUACACCUGCAAUUAGACAAAACACAAAAGUGUGUGAAGUAUUUUUGUUCUGGAUAACAUAAAUAGAUUAUUGAAUAGUUUGCACUAGAAAUCACCUGACAAAUAUGCAUAUAUGCAAUAUUUUUGGUCAUAUCCAAGGUAGUCAUGUCCUCAUCAGAUGGCAAACCUGUUGCAUACUUUUCUGAAAAAUUGAGUGGGCCUAGUCUGAAUUAUUCUACUUAUGAUAAAGAAUUAUAUGCUCUUGUUCGGACUUUAGAAACAUGGCAACAUUAUUUAUGGCCCAAAGAAUUUGUUAUACAUUCUGAUCAUGAAUCUUUGAAACAUAUUAAAAGUCAAGCUAAACUGAAUCGUAGACAUGCUAAAUGGGUUGAAUUCAUUGAGACUUUCCCUUAUGUCAUUAAACACAAGAAGGGAAAAGAAAAUGUUAUUGCUGAUGCAUUGUCUCGUCGCUAUACUAUGCUUUCACAACUUGACUUCAAAAUAUUUGGUUUGGAGACCAUCAAAGAUCAAUAUGUGCAUGAUGCUGAUUUUAAAGAUGUAAUGCAGAAUUGUAAAGAAGGAAGAAUGUGGAACAAGUUUGUCGUUAACGAUGGAUUUGUGUUUCGUGCUAACAAGCUAUGCAUUCCAGCUAGCUCCGUUCGUCUUUUGUUGUUGCAGGAAGCGCAUGGAGGAGGAUUAAUGGGACAUUUUGGCCUGAAGAAGACGGAGGACGUACUUGCUACACAUUUCUUUUGGCCAAAGAUGAGACGGGAUGUUGAGCGUUUUAUUGCUCGAUGCACUACAUGUCAAAAAGCUAAGUCACGACUCAAUCCUCAUGGUUUAUAUAUGCCUUUGCCUGUACCUAGUGUUCCUUGGGAGGAUAUAUCUAUGGACUUUGUUUUAGGUUUACCUCGAACAAAGAAGGGGAGGGAUAGCAUAUUUGUUGUCGUGGAUAGAUUCUCGAAAAUGGCACACUUUAUACCAUGUCAUAAAAGCGAUGAUGCUGUUAAUGUUGCUGAUUUGUUCUUUCGUGAAAUUAUUCGCUUGCAUGGUGUGCCAAAUACUAUUGUUUCAGAUCGUGAUACUAAAUUUCUUAGCCACUUUUGGAGAUGUUUAUGGGCUAAGUUGGGGACUAAACUGCUUUUUAGUACUACUUGUCACCCCCAAACUGAUGGACAAACUGUAGUAGUCAAUAGAACGUUGUCUACUAUGCUUAGGGCUGUUUUGAAGAAUAAUAAGAAAAUGUGGGAGGAAUGCUUGCCUCAUAUUGAAUUUGCUUAUAAUCGUUCAUUGCAUUCUACUACUAAGAUGUGCCCUUUUGAAGUUGUGUAUGGUUUCCUACCUCGUGCACCUAUUGAUUUGUUGCCUCUUCCAUCUUCGGAGAAGGUUAAUUUUGAUGCUAAACAACGUGCUGAAUUGAUUUUAAAAAUGCAUGAGUUAACUAAGGAAAACAUUGAGCGUAUGAAUGCUAAAUAUAAACUUGCUGGAGAUAAGGGUAGAAAACAUGUUGUGUUUGCACCUGGAGAUCUUGUUUGGUUACAUUUGCGUCAGGAUAGAUUUCCUGAUUUGCGCAAAUCAAAGCUAAUGCCACGUGCUGAUGGUCCCUUUAAGGUGUUAGAGAAAAUAAAUGAUAAUGCAUAUAAACUUGAGUUGCCUGCAGAUUUUGGGGUUAGUCCCACUUUUAACAUUGCAGAUUUGAAGCCUUAUUUGGGUGAGCAAGAUGAACUUCCGUCGAGGACGACUUCAUUUCAAGAAGGGGAGGAUGAUGAGGACAUCAAUAAAUUUGUUACACCCACAACCCCUACUGCUAUACAUACUGGACCAAUUACUAGAGCUCGUGCAUGCCAACUAAAUUACCAGGUACUUUCGUUUCUUGGUAAUGAUUCUAAUGUUCAUGAGAAUAUGAUGCUUCCUAAAUUGGAUACAUUUGUUUUGCUUACAAAUGAAGGGCCUAGCUUGGAGAAGGAUGAACAUUGGAGCAAGAACAAGCAUGGAGAUGAUGGCGUGCGCAAGGGGAGCAAGAACGGAGUUACAAGUGAUGAUUUCAGGACUUUGAAGCCACCAUAAUGGGUGCAUGAAGCCUUGGACGAAAUAUACAAGAUGCCACUUCCUAAAUUUCGUCCCGAGGCUAUUUUAGGUGCUGCGUCACCUUAUUAUUGGGCCAGGCCCAUGUAAUUUCGAAAUACAUAAGUAUAGGCUAUUUUUAGAGUCCGUAUGUGUGGGGAAACAAGAGAUAGGGUUGAUUUCGGACCCCUCCACCAAGGGCCACGAAAUUCCCCCCUCUUCCUCCAUAUAUACAGCCCUUAGGGCAUCGUUUAGACUUUGGGUUUUGUUUAGAUUAAAAGUUCGCCAUAGCUGCAACUUCGCGUACUUCGUUUGUGUUCAACGACCAGACAAAGGCGUCACAGAACCCCAUCUUGAUCAAUAAAGCUUUCAUCUUAUAUUCGCAAUAUCCAGAUUGCAAUCUUAGUUUCUUGCUUGUUCUUCAUUUGCUCGCAGGAAACAGACCCUCGUGGUCAGGUUGAUCGUGCUCCGGCGUGGUCAAUAACCUCUCGGAGUUGGUUUAGCGAUUGCUAAGGCGCGACGUCCUCGCACAUUCGUAGUCGGAUCGUCAAAGUCGACUUCCACCAAAGCGAAAUCCACCAUCUCAUCGAAAGACGGGACACCUUUGCCUCUAUCAACACAGCUUGUUUCAAUUUUUUAGGCCAGUUUUAGAAUUCUUUGACUCCUCAUAUCAACUCGGAAUUGAGUGAUUCUUUUUGCAUUGGAAAGCUUGAGUUAGUAGCAUUCUUUGAAAGAAUUUAUCAAAAAAUUGUCUCAAACUUUUCAUGAUGAGGACAUGACUACCUUGGAUAUGACCAAAAAUAUUGCAUAUAUGCAUAUUUGGCAGGUGAUUUCUAGUGCAAACUAUUCAAUAAUCUAUUUAUGUUAUCCAGAACAAAAAUACUUCACACACUUUUGUGUUUUGUCUAAUUGCAGGUGUAUAAGACAUUUGUACAAUCCACAUAUGAAGAUAAGGAAGAAAGAGAUGUUUAUUUGCUGUCCAAAAAGUUCUCUCACGUCACUUUUGGCCCAAGAGAAGAUAGAGUCCAGGUCUCUCACGUUCUGGAUUCAGAUUCGGACUGCACAGACACACCUGACUCAAAACGCACACAAGUUUUUAAUACGGACUCCGAAUUGGGUCAUUCUUUUUUUUGUUGGAAACUAGAUUUCGUGCACUUUCCAACCCAAUUGGAAUCACCUUCAAAUUCUUCCGGAGCGUUGAGUUGUGGACGAAACAAUCUGAUGCUGCAGCAGAAUCCGAGUCAAACUACAAGUCCAAAGGUGUUACAUCACCUCCACUUGGGCCCGUUGGCCUUGUACGACCUAGAUUUAGUUUUAGGCUGCCUUGGGACGUCCUCCCACCUCCUUGGCCGCCACCCCUUGCUCCUAUAUAAGUAGAUCCAUCUAGUAGCUUUUUCCUGGGGAUUUGUUUAGUUAAAAGUUAGCCAUUGCAACUUCGUGUACUUCGUUUGUGUCCAACGACCAGACCAAGACCGCUUCCGGAUCCCCACCUUUAUCAAUACUUCAUCUAUAUUCGCAAUAUUCAGAUUGCUUUAUCAUAUUCUUGCUUGUUCUUCGAUUGCUUGCAGGAAUAGACCUUCGUGGUCAGGUUGAUUGUGCUUCGGCGUGGUCAAUAACCUCUCGGAGUUGGUUUAGCGAUUGCUAAGGCGCAACGUCGUGCACGUUUGUAGUCGGAUCGUCAAAGUCAUCUUCACCAAAUCGAUAGUUAUCAUCUCAUCGAAAGAUCGGGACACCCCCGCCUCUAUCAAGUGGUAUCAGUUUUCAGGUUGCUCGGUGAGAAUUUCCAGUUUUUCCUAGAUUAGAUUUAUUUUCUUACCUAUUGUCCAAGAAAAAGCCACAAAACAAAAGUUAGAUCUAUUCAUCCUUUGUCCUAGCCAGACUGAGCCUUUGCAAUUUUCUUUUCAUUGUUUGCAUUAUUGAAUUAUCGGUUGCAUCGCCGUGUCGAGUUGCUGGUCUUAGUGUCUAGUUCCUUUAGAGUUUCGAGUUCUGUUCACAUUAGUCACGCAGCCGCUGCAUCAUUAUCCCAUCCGCUGUCCACCAUCCCAUCCACCAAUUUNNNNNNNNNNNNNNNNNNNNNNNNNNNNNNNNNNNNNNNNNNNNNNNNNNNNNNNNNNNNNNNNNNNNNNNNNNNNNNNNNNNNNNNNNNNNNNNNNNNNNNNNNNNNNNNNNNNNNNNNNNNNNNNNNNNNNNNNNNNNNNNNNNNNNNNNNNNNNNNNNNNNNNNNNNNNNNNNNNNNNNNNNNNNNNNNNNNNNNNNNNNNNNNNNNNNNNNNNNNNNNNNNNNNNNNNNNNNNNNNNNNNNNNNNNNNNNNNNNNNNNNNNNNNNNNNNNNNNNNNNNNNNNNNNNNNNNNNNNNNNNNNNNNNNNNNNNNNNNNNNNNNNNNNNNNNNNNNNNNNNNNNNNNNNNNNNNNNNNNNNNNNNNNNNNNNNNNNNNNNNNNNNNNNNNNNNNNNNNNNNNNNNNNNNNNNNNNNNNNNNNNNNNNNNNNNNNNNNNNNNNNNNNNNNNNNNNNNNNNNNNNNNNNNNNNNNNNNNNNNNNNNNNNNNNNNNNNNNNNNNNNNNNNNNNNNNNNNNNNNNNNNNNNNNNNNNNNNNNNNNNNNNNNNNNNNNNNNNNNNNNNNNNNNNNNNNNNNNNNNNNNNNNNNNNNNNNNNNNNNNNNNNNNNNNNNNNNNNNNNNNNNNNNNNNNNNNNNNNNNNNNNNNNNNNNNNNNNNNNNNNNNNNNNNNNNNNNNNNNNNNNNNNNNNNNNNNNNNNNNNNNNNNNAAAAAAAAUUGGAUCUAUCUAGAAUCAAUCUCGUACCUGAAUUCGGAUUGGAAUCUGUUUUGCGCACUGUUCAGUAAAAUAGGUGUAUCUUCCUCAUACGAAGUCCGUUUUGGCUCCGUGAGUACUCAAAUUGAAGAUAGCGACGAGCCGCAUCUAAAUAGCUGCAGAAGCUAGUUCAAUAUUUGACACCUCAAAAUCGGAUCCUAAAUAGGUCUUUUUGCCCUCCGAAGUUCGUGAACACAGCUUGUUCCAAUUUUUAGGCCAGUUUUAGAAUUCUUUGACUCCUCAUAUCAACUCGGAAUUGAGUGAUUCUUUUUGCAUUGGAAAGCUUGAGUUAGUAGCAUUCUUUGAAAGAAUUUAUCAGAAAAUUGUCUCAAACUUUUCAAGAGGAAAGUUGGAGAGAGAGUUGUUGUAUAUCCUGCUUGGCAGUUGUUUUUCAUCAUUAUCUUCACUGCCGUUGUGAUCUUCACUUAUAUCUUGCUGUCAAGAGCUACUUAGUAUCCUUCAUUGAUGCUAGUUGUGCUACGCCGUGACCUCAUUAGUAUUCUACGCUCGCGUCUCUAGUCCGGUCCAGCCUAGGACCAGCACAGUACCGUCGUUGAGCGUUUAUUCAACAUUGCAUCUUUGAAUUGAUUAUUGCUAAUCUUUUGCUACCAUAUAUAGCCAACCCAGCUCCACAUAUUUCUACACCGUUUAUACGUACGCUCCCCUGGCAAUCGCUUUACUCAAUAUUCGGAGUUACUUGACACCGCUGGUUGCCGAUCACCGCCUGCUGCAUGGUAAGAACUUGUAAGACAUUGAUAUUUGCUUUACUGUGAGCGUUUUACCACCACAUCCUAGUAGUUAUAGGAACAUUAUUUUUGGGUUUUGUUUCUUGUUCUACUAAUCAUGACAGGAUCCAGAGUCAAUUCAUGGGCUUUGUCGAUCGCGGGAGACGUGCCACCACCUUUGCAAAUACCACAACCGCCACGAGAGGUGCACAAACAUCCAAAUGCACAUGAUCAAGUUAAUGUAUCUAUACCACCAUUUAAUGGCCGUUUUAAACCUGCUUUAUAUAUUGAAUGGGAGUUCGACAUAAAAAAUAUAUUUGCUUCCCAUAAUUUCGAUGAACAUAAAAAGGUUAAGGUUGCAGUUGGUUCUUUCACUGGUUAUGCUUUGGUUUGGUGGAGUGAAUAUUGUCGGUUACACCCUGAUUAUAUACCUACUACUUGGGAUGAUUUGAAACUUGCCAUGCGACAUACUUUCGUCCCUGCUUAUUAUACUCGUGACAUGAUUAAGAAGUUGCAACACUUAAAACAAGGUAGUGAAACUGUAACAAAAUAUUAUGAUGAUUUACAAACUACCUUGUUGCAUUCCUCUUUAGAAGAAAGUGAAGAUGAUUUUAUGGAUAGAUUUUGGGGAGGAUUAAACUGUGAUAUUCAAGAGAUACUAAUUCAUGAAGAGUGUUAUCCUAUGGACCAUUUGUUUCAUCUUGCUUGCAAAGAUGAACAGGAAAUAAAACGACGUGUUGGCCACGAGGAGAACAAGCGCACGGUGCACAUUCCAAGAGUUGAUAUGAUUGUUCAUUCAACUACUAGGCAUACUAUGACAACCACAUCCGUUGUUGUCAGGACUACAUCACCUCCACCAUGUGACACAUCGCCCCCGAGAGUGGCUACAUCAUCUGAGUUGAUCAUAAGAGGUAAUGACAAAGGUACUGAUCUUCCAUCUCUACAUGAGAAUGAUGAAUGCCUUAUCAAUUUGAAUACACCAUCUGAUGAGCUACCCACUACUUUGAUCACACCACCUAUUUUAGAGGACUACGUUGAUAAUUUGACUUUGCCAUGUGAUCAAACAACUGAAAUACCAACAAUUUUGAGUGCACCCAUUAAAUUAACUAUUGAUGCAAAAUAACCAAUGUUUAAUCAUUUUGAUAUGACCUCUAAUCUUGGUGAUGAUUCUGUGUUGAAUGACUUAUUGCAUGUUUGCUUAUUUAAGCAUGUUGUAGCAUGUAAAUUUGAUGCAAGUAAGGUUUAUUCACCAAUGUUGGGAUGGUUUAAUGAUGAACAUUGUCAAUCUUUUGAAAUGAAUAAGAGCUUCACUUAUAUGUCCAAACUGAGUUGCAAUAUUUUCAUGCCUUCUACUUCUUGUGCUAAUUUUUUGGCUUUAGAUUUUAUGAACUAUGCAAGUUACUCAUCUAUUCAUGUGUCAUAUAUGCAAAAAUCAAGGGAAGUAAAAAUGAAUGACAUAUACAUAUACAACAUGUACACCUUGUCUCUUUUGUUAGCCACAUUUCAGAUUAAGCAACGCGGAGGACGGCUUUAUUUUCAAGAAGGGGAGGAUGAUGAGGACAUGACUACCUUGGAUAUGACCAAAAAUAUUGCAUAUAUGCAUAUUUGUCAGGUGAUUUCUAGUGCAAACUAUUCAAUAAUCUAUUUAUGUUAUCCAGAACAAAAAUACUUCACACACUUUUGUGUUUUGUCUAAUUGCAGGUGUAUGGGACAUUUGUACAAUCCACAUAUGAAGAUAAGGAAUAAAGAGAUGUUUAUUUGCUGUCCAAAAAGUUCUCUCACGUCACUUUUGGCCCAAGAGAAGAUAGAGUCCAGGUCUCUCACGUUCUGGAUUCAGAUUCGGACUACACAGACACACCUGACUCAAAACACACACAAGUUUUUAAUACAGACUCCGAAUUGGGUGAUUCUUUUUUGUUUGGAAACUAGAUUUCGUGCACUUUCCAACCCAAUUGGAAUCACCUUCAAAUUCGUCCGGAGCGUUGAGUUGUGGACGAAACAAUCUGAUGCUGCAGCAGAAUCCGAGUCAAACUACAAGUCCAAAGGUGUUACAUCACCUCCACUUGGGCCCAUUGGCCUUGUACGACCUAGAUUUAGUUUUAGGCUGCCUUGGGACGUCCUCCCACCUCCUUGGCCGCCACCCCUUGCUCCUAUAUAAGUAGAUCCAUCUAGUAGCUUUUCCUUGGGAUUUGUUUAGUUAAAAGUUAGCCAUUGCAACUUCGUGUACUUUGUUUGUGUCCAACGACCAGACCAAGACCGUUUACGGAUCCCCACCUUUAUCAAUACUUCAUCUAUAUUCGCAAUAUUCAGAUUGCUUUAUCAUAUUCUUGCUUGUUCUUCGAUUGCUUGCAGGAAUAGACCUUCGUGGUCAGGUUGAUUGUGCUCUGGCGUGGUCAAUAACCUCUCGGAGUUGGUUUAGCGAUUGCUAAGGCGCAACGUCGUGCACGUUUGUAGUCGAAUCGUCAAAGUCGUCUCCACCAAAUCGAUAGUUAUCAUCUCAUCGAAAGAUCGGGACACCCCCGCCUCUAUCAAGUGGUAUCAGUUUUCAGGUUGCUCGGUGAGAAUUUCCAGUUUUUCCUAGAUUAGAUUUAUUUUCUUACCUAUUGUCCAAGAAAAAGCCACAAAACAAAAGUUAGAUCUAUUCAUCCUUUGUCCUAGCCAGACUGAGCCUUUGCAAUUUUCUUUUCAUUGUUUGCAUUAUUGAAUUAUCGGUUGCAUCGCCGUGUCGAGUUGCUGGUCUUAGUGUCUAGUUCCUUUAGAGUUUCGAGUUCUGUUCACAUUAGUCACGCAGCCGCUGCAUCAUUAUCCCAUCCGCUGUCCACCAUCCCAUCCACCAAUUUCCACCAUGUGCUACGCACUGUUUAUUGUCAUAAUCAUAGUUGAGGUCACUCACAUCUUCGCCUGAUCGAAUCUGCAUCUUAUCUAGUUUGUCUUGGAAAGAGGGAGAAAAAGAAUAUAAAGAAAAAAAAGAGAGAAAAAAGGAAAGAAAAAAAAGAAAAAGAGGGAGAAGAAAAAGAAAAAAAAGCGUGAGAAAAAAAAGAGAGAAGAAAAAAAAUUGGAUCUAUCUAGAAUCAAUCUCGUACCUGAAUUCGGAUUGGAAUCUGUUUUGCGCACUGUUCAGUAAAAUAGGUGUAUCUUCCUCAUACGAAGUCCGUUUUGGCUCCGUGAGUACUCAAAUUGAAGAUAGCGACGAGCCGCAUCUAAAUAGCUGCAGAAGCUAGUUCAAUAUUUGACACCUCAAAAUCGGAUCCUAAAUAGGUCUUUUUGCCCUCCGAAGUUCGUGAACACAGCUUGUUCCAAUUUUUAGGCCAGUUUUAGAAUUCUUUGACUCCUCAUAUCAACUCGGAAUUGAGUGAUUCUUUUUGCAUUGGAAAGCUUGAGUUAGUAGCAUUCUUUGAAAGAAUUUAUCAGAAAAUUGUCUCAAACUUUUCAAGAGGAAAGUUGGAGAGAGAGUUGUUGUAUAUCCUGCUUGGCAGUUGUUUUUCAUCAUUAUCUUCACUGCCGUUGUGAUCUUCACUUAUAUCUUGCUGUCAAGAGCUACUUAGUAUCCUUCAUUGAUGCUAGUUGUGCUACGCCGUGACCUCAUUAGUAUUCUACGCUCGCGUCUCUAGUCCGGUCCAGCCUAGGACCAGCACAGUACCGUCGUUGAGCGUUUAUUCAACAUUGCAUCUUUGAAUUGAUUAUUGCUAAUCUUUUGCUACCAUAUAUAGCCAACCCAGCUCCACAUAUUUCUACACCGUUUAUACGUACGCUCCCCUGGCAAUCGCUUUACUCAAUAUUCGGAGUUACUUGACACCGCUGGUUGCCGAUCACCGCCUGCUGCAUGGUAAGAACUUGUAAGACAUUGAUAUUUGCUUUACUGUGAGCGUUUUACCACCACAUCCUAGUAGUUAUAGGAACAUUAUUUUUGGGUUUUGUUUCUUGUUCUACUAAUCAUGACAGGAUCCAGAGUCAAUUCAUGGGCUUUGUCGAUCGCGGGAGACGUGCCACCACCUUUGCAAAUACCACAACCGCCACGAGAGGUGCACAAACAUCCAAAUGCACAUGAUCAAGUUAAUGUAUCUAUACCACCAUUUAAUGGCCGUUUUAAACCUGCUUUAUAUAUUGAAUGGGAGUUCGACAUAAAAAAUAUAUUUGCUUCCCAUAAUUUCGAUGAACAUAAAAAGGUUAAGGUUGCAGUUGGUUCUUUCACUGGUUAUGCUUUGGUUUGGUGGAGUGAAUAUUGUCGGUUACACCCUGAUUAUAUACCUACUACUUGGGAUGAUUUGAAACUUGCCAUGCGACAUACUUUCGUCCCUGCUUAUUAUACUCGUGACAUGAUUAAGAAGUUGCAACACUUAAAACAAGGUAGUGAAACUGUAACAAAAUAUUAUGAUGAUUUACAAACUACCUUGUUGCAUUCCUCUUUAGAAGAAAGUGAAGAUGAUUUUAUGGAUAGAUUUUGGGGAGGAUUAAACUGUGAUAUUCAAGAGAUACUAAUUCAUGAAGAGUGUUAUCCUAUGGACCAUUUGUUUCAUCUUGCUUGCAAAGAUGAACAGGAAAUAAAACGACGUGUUGGCCACGAGGAGAACAAGCGCACGGUGCACAUUCCAAGAGUUGAUAUGAUUGUUCAUUCAACUACUAGGCAUACUAUGACAACCACAUCCGUUGUUGUCAGGACUACAUCACCUCCACCAUGUGACACAUCGCCCCCGAGAGUGGCUACAUCAUCUGAGUUGAUCAUAAGAGGUAAUGACAAAGGUACUGAUCUUCCAUCUCUACAUGAGAAUGAUGAAUGCCUUAUCAAUUUGAAUACACCAUCUGAUGAGCUACCCACUACUUUGAUCACACCACCUAUUUUAGAGGACUACGUUGAUAAUUUGACUUUGCCAUGUGAUCAAACAACUGAAAUACCAACAAUUUUGAGUGCACCCAUUAAAUUAACUAUUGAUGCAAAAUAACCAAUGUUUAAUCAUUUUGAUAUGACCUCUAAUCUUGGUGAUGAUUCUGUGUUGAAUGACUUAUUGCAUGUUUGCUUAUUUAAGCAUGUUGUAGCAUGUAAAUUUGAUGCAAGUAAGGUUUAUUCACCAAUGUUGGGAUGGUUUAAUGAUGAACAUUGUCAAUCUUUUGAAAUGAAUAAGAGCUUCACUUAUAUGUCCAAACUGAGUUGCAAUAUUUUCAUGCCUUCUACUUCUUGUGCUAAUUUUUUGGCUUUAGAUUUUAUGAACUAUGCAAGUUACUCAUCUAUUCAUGUGUCAUAUAUGCAAAAAUCAAGGGAAGUAAAAAUGAAUGACAUAUACAUAUACAACAUGUACACCUUGUCUCUUUUGUUAGCCACAUUUCAGAUUAAGCAACGCGGAGGACGGCUUUAUUUUCAAGAAGGGGAGGAUGAUGAGGACAUGACUACCUUGGAUAUGACCAAAAAUAUUGCAUAUAUGCAUAUUUGUCAGGUGAUUUCUAGUGCAAACUAUUCAAUAAUCUAUUUAUGUUAUCCAGAACAAAAAUACUUCACACACUUUUGUGUUUUGUCUAAUUGCAGGUGUAUGGGACAUUUGUACAAUCCACAUAUGAAGAUAAGGAAUAAAGAGAUGUUUAUUUGCUGUCCAAAAAGUUCUCUCACGUCACUUUUGGCCCAAGAGAAGAUAGAGUCCAGGUCUCUCACGUUCUGGAUUCAGAUUCGGACUACACAGACACACCUGACUCAAAACACACACAAGUUUUUAAUACGGACUCCGAAUUGGGUGAUUCUUUUUUGUUUGGAAACUAGAUUUCGUGCACUUUCCAACCCAAUUGGAAUCACCUUCAAAUUCGUCCGGAGCGUUGAGUUGUGGACGAAACAAUCUGAUGCUGCAGCAGAAUCCGAGUCAAACUACAAGUCCAAAGGUGUUACAUCACCUCCACUUGGGCCCAUUGGCCUUGUACGACCUAGAUUUAGUUUUAGGCUGCCUUGGGACAUCCUCCCACCUCCUUGGCCGCCACCCCUUGCUCCUAUAUAAGUAGAUCUAUCUAGUAGCUUUUCCUUGGGAUUUGUUUAGUUAAAAGUUAGCCAUUGCAACUUCGUGUACUUUGUUUGUGUCCAACGACCAGACCAAGACCGUUUACGGAUCCCCACCUUUAUCAAUACUUCAUCUAUAUUCGUAAUAUUCAGAUUGCUUUAUGAUAUUCUUGCUUGUUCUUCGAUUGCUUGCAGGAAUAGACCUUCGUGGUCAGGUUGAUUGUGCUCUGGCGUGGUCAAUAACCUCUCGGAGUUGGUUUAGCGAUUGCUAAGGCGCAACGUCGUGCAUGUUUGUAGUCGAAUCGUCAAAGUCGUCUCCACCAAAUCGAUAGUUAUCAUCUUAUCGAAAGAUCGGAACACCCCCGCCUCUAUCAAGUGGUAUCAGUUUUCAGGUUGCUCGGUGAGAAUUUCCUGUUUUUCCUAGAUUAGAUUUAUUUUCUUACCUAUUGUCCAAGAAAAAGCCACAAAACAAAAGUUAGAUCUAUUCAUCCUUUGUCCUAGCCAGACUGAGCCUUUGCAAUUUUCUUUUCAUUGUUUGCAUUAUUGAAUUAUCGGUUGCAUCGCCGUGUCGAGUUGCUGGUCUUAGUGUCUAGUUCCUUUAGAGUUUCGAGUUCUGUUCACAUUAGUCACGCAGCCGCUGCAUCAUUAUCCCAUCCGCUGUCCACCAUCCCAUCCACCAAUUUCCACCAUGUGCUACGCACUGUUUAUUGUCAUAAUCAUAGUUGAGGUCACUCACAUCUUCGCCUCAUCGAAUCUGCAUCUUAUCUAGUUUGUCUUGGAAAGAGGGAGAAAAAGAAUAUAAAGAAAAAAAAAGAGAGAAAAAAGGAAAGAAAAAAAAAGAAAAAGAGGGAGAAGAAAAAGAAAAAAAGCGUGAGAAAAAAAAGAGAGAAGAAAAAAAAAUUGGAUCUAUCUAGAAUCAAUCUCGUACCUGAAUUCGGAUUGGAAUCUGUUUUGCGCACUGUUCAGUAAAAUAGGUGUAUCUUCCUCAUACGAAGUCCGUUUUGGCUCCGUGAGUACUCAAAUUGAAGAUAGCGACGAGCCGCAUCUAAAUAGCUGCAGAAGCUAGUUCAAUAUUUGACACCUCAAAAUCGGCUCCUAAAUAGGUCUUUUUGCCCUCCGAAGUUCGUGAACACAGCUUGUUCCAAUUUUUAGGCCAGUUUUAGAAUUCUUUGACUCCUCAUAUCAACUCGGAAUUGAGUGAUUCUUUUUGCAUUGGAAAGCUUGAGUUAGUAGCAUUCUUUGAAAGAAUUUAUCAGAAAAUUGUCUCAAACUUUUCAAGAGGAAAGUUGGAGAGAGAGUUGUUGUAUAUCCUGCUUGGCAGUUGUUUUUCAUCAUUAUCUUCACUGCCGUUGUGAUCUUCACUUAUAUCUUGCUGUCAAGAGCUACUUAGUAUCCUUCAUUGAUGCUAGUUGUGCUACGCCGUGACCUCAUUAGUGUUCUACGCUCGCGUCUCUAGUCCGGUCUAGCCUAGGACCAGCACAGUACCGUCGUUGAGCGUUUAUUCAACAUUGCAUCUUUGAAUUGAUUAUUGCUAAUCUUUUGCUACCAUAUAUAGCCAACCCAGCUCCACAUAUUUCUACACCGUGUAUACGUACGCUCCCCUGGCAAUCGCUUUACUCAAUAUUCGGAGUUACUUGACACCGCUGGUUGCCGAUCACCGCCUGCUGCAUGGUAAGAACUUGUAAGACAUUGAUAUUUGCUUUACUGUGAGCGUUUUACCACCACAUCCUAGUAGUUAUAGGAACAUUAUUUUUGGGUUUUGUUUCUUGUUCUACUAAUCAUGACAGGAUCCAGAGUCAAUUCAUGGGCUUUGUCGAUCGCGGGAGACGUGCCACCACCUUUGCAAAUACCACAACCGUCACGAGAGGUGCACAAACAUCCAAAUGCACAUGAUCAAGUUAAUGUAUCUAUACCAUCAUUUAAUGGCCAUUUUAAACCUGCUUUAUAUAUUGAAUGGGAGUUCGACAUAAAAAAUAUAUUUGCUUCCCAUAAUUUCGAUGAACAUAAAAAGGUUAAGGUUGCAGUUGGUUCUUUCACUGGUUAUGCUUUGGUUUGGUGGAGUGAAUAUUGUCGGUUACACCCUGAUUAUAUACCUACUACUUGGGAUGAUUUGAAACUUGCCAUGCGACAUACUUUCGUCCCUGCUUAUUAUACUCGUGACAUGAUUAAGAAGUUGCAACACUUAAAACAAGGUAGUGAAACUGUAACAAAAUAUUAUGAUGAUUUACAAACUACCUUGUUGCAUUCCUCUUUAGAAGAAAGUGAAGAUGAUUUUAUGGAUAGAUUUUGGGGAGGAUUAAACUGUGAUAUUCAAGAGAUACUAAUUCAUGAAGAGUGUUAUCCUAUGGACCAUUUGUUUCAUCUUGCUUGCAAAGAUGAACAGGAAAUAAAACGACGUGUUGGCCACGAGGAGAACAAGCGCACGGUGCACAUUCCAAGAGUUGAUAUGAUUGUUCAUUCAACUACUAGGCAUACUAUGACAACCACAUCCGUUGUUGUCAGGACUACAUCACCUCCACCAUGUGACACAUCGCCCCCGAGAGUGGCUACAUCAUCUGAGUUGAUCAUAAGAGGUAAUGACAAAGGUACUGAUCUUCCAUCUCUACAUGAGAAUGAUGAAUGCCUUAUCAAUUUGAAUACACCAUCUGAUGAGCUACCCACUACUUUGAUCACACCACCUAUUUUAGAGGACUACGUUGAUAAUUUGACUUUGCCAUGUGAUCAAACAACUGAAAUACCAACAAUUUUGAGUGCACCCAUUAAAUUAACUAUUGAUGCAAAAUAACCAAUGUUUAAUCAUUUUGAUAUGACCUCUAAUCUUGGUGAUGAUUCUGUGUUGAAUGACUUAUUGCAUGUUUGCUUAUUUAAGCAUGUUGUAGCAUGUAAAUUUGAUGCAAGUAAGGUUUAUUCACCAAUGUUGGGAUGGUUUAAUGAUGAACAUUGUCAAUCUUUUGAAAUGAAUAAGAGCUUCACUUAUAUGUCCAAACUGAGUUGCAAUAUUUUCAUGCCUUCUACUUCUUGUGCUAAUUUUUUGGCUUUAGAUUUUAUGAACUAUGCAAGUUACUCAUCUAUUCAUGUGUCAUAUAUGCAAAAAUCAAGGGAAGUAAAAAUGAAUGACAUAUACAUAUACAACAUGUACACCUUGUCUCUUUUGUUAGCCACAUUUCAGAUUAAGCAACGCGGAGGACGGCUUUAUUUUCAAGAAGGGGAGGAUGAUGAGGACAUGACUACCUUGGAUAUGACCAAAAAUAUUGCAUAUAUGCAUAUUUGUCAGGUGAUUUCUAGUGCAAACUAUUCAAUAAUCUAUUUAUGUUAUCCAGAACAAAAAUACUUCACACACUUUUGUGUUUUGUCUAAUUGCAGGUGUAUGGGACAUUUGUACAAUCCACAUAUGAAGAUAAGGAAUAAAGAGAUGUUUAUUUGCUGUCCAAAAAGUUCUCUCACGUCACUUUUGGCCCAAGAGAAGAUAGAGUCCAGGUCUCUCACGUUCUGGAUUCAGAUUCGGACUACACAGACACACCUGACUCAAAACACACACAAGUUUUUAAUACAGACUCCGAAUUGGGUGAUUCUUUUUUGUUUGGAAACUAGAUUUCGUGCACUUUCCAACCCAAUUGGAAUCACCUUCAAAUUCGUCCGGAGCGUUGAGUUGUGGACGAAACAAUCUGAUGCUGCAGCAGAAUCCGAGUCAAACUACAAGUCCAAAGGUGUUACAUCACCUCCACUUGGGCCCAUUGGCCUUGUACGACCUAGAUUUAGUUUUAGGCUGCCUUGGGACGUCCUCCCACCUCCUUGGCCGCCACCCCUUGCUCCUAUAUAAGUAGAUCCAUCUAGUAGCUUUUCCUUGGGAUUUGUUUAGUUAAAAGUUAGCCAUUGCAACUUCGUGUACUUUGUUUGUGUCCAACGACCAGACCAAGACCGUUUACGGAUCCCCACCUUUAUCAAUACUUCAUCUAUAUUCGCAAUAUUUAGAUUGCUUUAUCAUAUUCUUGCUUGUUCUUCGAUUGCUUGCAGGAAUAGACCUUCGUGGUCAGGUUGAUUGUGCUCUGGCGUGGUCAAUAACCUCUCGGAGUUGGUUUAGCGAUUGCUAAGGCGCAACGUCGUGCACGUUUGUAGUCGAAUCGUCAAAGUCGUCUCCACCAAAUCGAUAGUUAUCAUCUCAUCGAAAGAUCGGGACACCCCCGCCUCUAUCACACUAAGACCAGCAACUCGACACGAUGAUGCAACCGACAAUUCAACUAUGCAAGCAAUGAAAAGAAAAUUGCAAAGGUUCAGACUGGCUUGGACCAAGGAUGAAUAGAUAUAACUCUUUUUUGUGGCUUUUUCUUGGACAAUAGGUAAGAAAAUAAAUCUAAUCUAGGAAAACUGGAAAUUCUCACCGAGCAACCUGAAAACUGAUACCACUUGAUAGAAGGCGGGGGUGUCCCGAUCUUUCGAUGAGAUGGUAACUAUCGAUUUGGUGGAGACGACUUUGACGAUCCGACUACAAACGUGCACGACGUUGCGCCUUAGCAAUCACUAAACCAAUCUCCAGAGGUUAUUGACCACGCCGGUGCACGAUCAACCUGACCACGAAGGUCUAUUCCUGCAAGCAAUCAAAGAACGAGUAAGAAUAUGAUAAAAGGAAUCUGAAUAUUGCAAAUAUGUAUGAAGUAUUGAUAAAGGUGGGGAUCCGAAAGCGGUCUUGGUCUGGUCGUUGGACACAAACGAAGUACACGAAGUUGCGUUGGCUAACUUUUAACUAAACAAAUCCUCACGAAAAAGCUACUAGAUGGAUCUACUUAUAUAGGAGCAAGGGGUGGCGGCCAAGGAGGUGGGAGGACGUCCCAAGGCAGCCUAAAACUAACCCUAGGUCGUACAAGGCUCAUGGGCCCAAGUGGAGGUGAUGCAGCACCUUUGGGCUUGUAGUUUGACUCGGAUUCUGCUGCAACGUUAGAUUGUUUUGUCCGUAACUCAACGCUCCGGACGAAUUUGAAGGUGAAUCCAAUUGGGUUGGAAAGAGCACGAAAUCUAGUUUCCAACAAAAAAAGAAUCACCCAAUUCGGAGUCUAUAUGAAAAAGUUGUUGGCGUUUUGAGUCAGGUAUGUCUGUGCAGUCCGAAUCUGAAUCCAGAACGUGAGAGACUUGGACUCUAUCUUCUCUUGGCCCAAAAGUGAUGUGAGAGGACUUUUUGAACACAACCUAAACUUCUCCUUUUCCCUUAUCUUCAUAUGUGGAUUGUACAAAUGUCCCAUACACCUGCAAUUAGACAAAACACAAAAGUGUGUGAAGUAUUUUUGUUCUGGAUAACAUAAAUAGAUUAUUGAAUAGUUUGCAUUAGAAAUCACCUGACAAAUAUGCAUGUAUGCAAUAUUUUUGGUCGUAUCCAAGGUAUUCAUGUCCUCAUCACCGUCCCACUUGAUUUGGAAGGCGAUGUUGUUGUUGUUGUAGAGGUGCGUUGGUGGUGGUGGUGGAAGACACGCAAGCAAUUCAUUAAACUUGUUAUCAAGCUUUGUUUCGAACAUCUUCUCCAUGCCAUCUAUCUUCUCCAUGGCCUCUUCAAAUCUGUUUAGCACAUCUUGCACCUGUCCACUAAACAUUAGCUGAAAUUUAUUAUGUAGCUCUUUGUUCGUCAUGUUCUCCCAAUCUGUCUCAUCGGCUUGUGAUCCUGCCAUGGUUAGCAGCAAUAGAAAACACACAAGAAUAUGAUCCUACAGACUACUAGGAAGUGGUGGUGGUGGUGGUGGUGGUGGUGGUGGUGUAUCACAAAUCUGGCAAGCAAAUCUCAAAUUCUUACCAGUUCUUACCCAGCAACAGGUGGUGAUCGGCAACCGUGGUAGUCAAAACUCUCCAAGAUUGGAUAGAGCGAUUGCUAGGUGGUGUCAAACGCAUGAUGUAGAUGUAUGUGUAGCUGGGAAGGCUUAUGAUAUGGUAGCAAAAAUGUCAGCAAUAAUCAAUUCAGAGAUGCAAAGUUGAGUAAACGCUCAACGACGGUACUGUGUUGGUCCUAGGCUAGAUCGUACUAGAGACGCGAGCUUAGAACACGAACAAAAUCACGGCGCGGCACGUAAACAAGGGAGGAGCACUCUUUGAAUCUUUUUUCCUUUUUUCAAUUUUUUUGCACUUGUUUUUUCCUCUCUUUUUUGCUCCGCAACAAAUUUUUUUCGAAAAAGUCUAUAAAUGGUCUAAAAGCUGCCUAGCCAGAAUUUUCCAGACUUAGUUUUUUUUGAGUUUGGAACUAUUUUUCUACUGCGGGUAGCACGGAAUCUCGGGAGUCCUACUCUGUCAUGACUCAGAGUAUGGCGUGAUCUGAAACUCGAAAACAAAGCAACAAAUACUGGACUCGGACUAGUGGCGGAGAUGAAUCUGGUGGAACUCGGACUGGUGGUAUAUCUGGACUCGGAAUGGUGGUGGUAUAUGGCGAUGGUAUAUGUGGACUCGUAUUGGUGGUGGUAUAUGGCGAUGGUAUAUGUGGACUCGGAUUGGUGGUUGUAUAUGGCAGCGGCGAUGUAUAUGGUGGGGUGGUGGUAUAUGGUAAUGCUAAUGACGAUGGUGUGGCGGCAGCGUGACAACCUGUGAACAGAACUCGAAACUCAAAGGGACUAGACGCUAAGACCAGCAACUCGACAUGACGAUGCAACCGCAAAUUCAACAAAGCAAAACUCUAAAAAGACUAUGCAAAGGCUCAGAUUGGUUCGGAUAUGAUGACCUAACCCUAAUUUUUUUGGCUUUUUCGUGGACUAUAGGUAUGAAGAACAGACUCGACCUAAACUACGAAAACUGUAAAAUCUCACCGAGCAACCUGGAAAUCUGAUACCGCUUGAUAGAGGCAAAGGUGUACCGAUGUUUCAGUGAGAUAGAUAUCAUUUUCUGUGGGAGUCGACUUUGACGAUCUGACUACAAACAUGCGAAGACGUCGCGCCUUAGCAAUCGCUAAACCAACUUCCGAGGGUUAUUGACCACGCCGGAGCACGAUCAACCUGACCACGAGAGUCUAUUUCCUGCGAGCAAACAAAGAACAAGAAAGAAACUGAUAUUGCAAUCUGGAUAUUGUGAAUAAAAGAGGAAAGUUGUAUUAAUGAAGGUGGGGUUCUGUGACAUCUUGGUCUGGUCGUUGGACACAGACGAAGUACGCGAAGUUACAGCUAUGGCGAACUUUUAGUCUAAACAAAACCCAAAGUCUAAACGAUGCCCUGAGGGUUGUAUAUAUGGAGGAGAGAGGGGGAAUUUCGUGGCCCUUGGAGGAGGGGUCCGAAACCAACCCUAACUCUUGUUUCCCCACACAUACGGACUAUAAAAACAGCCUAUACUUAAGUAUUUCGAAAAUACAUGGGACUGGCCCAAUAAUAAGGUGAUGCAGCACCUAGAAUAGCCUCUGGACGAAAUUUAUGAAGUGGCAUCUUGUAUAUUUCGUCCAAGGCUUCAUGCAUUCCUUAUGGUGGCUUCAAAGUCCUGAAAUCAUCACUUGUAACUCCGUUCAUGAUCCCCUUGCGCAUGCCAUCAUCUCCAUGCUUGAACUUGCUCCAAGGUUCAUCUUUCUUGUCCAAGCUAGGCCCUUCAUUUGUAAGCAAAACAAAUGUAUCCAAUUUAGGCCGCAUCAUAUUCUCAUGAGCAUUAGAAUCGUUACCAAGAAACGAAAGUACCUGAUAAUUCAAUUGGCGUGCGCGAGCUCUAGUAAUUGGUCCGGUGUGUAUAGCAGCAGGGGUUGUGGGUGUAACAAUGGUAUUGAUGUCCUCAUCAGCCCAGUAGCAUAGCAAUUUCCUCUUCGUAUCCAUCGCGAGUUGCUUUGAGUUCCUCUUCUAGCUCCAUAUUCCGGGUCAUCACCUUCUUCGUAUCUAUCAUGUUAGCGCACAUCUGAUUCUCAUAUCGACGAAUGUGCUGGUUCAUCUCAUGUAUGUAGGCUGUAAUAGAUCCAUCCUUCCUGGUGCAAAUCAUCUCCCAUUGCUCAUCCUAGCAUCCACAUAUCUGAUAGACGGUGUCUUUAAGAUCCUUGUUGUACACCUCGCCUAUGCAUCCAAUGGUGAUGUGGGUGGCCAUGCUCUUUCCUAAGCUCCAGGUUGGUGCAUCAAAGGAAAACUCGAUGGGCUGGGUAAUUUGUGCAAAAGCCCUCCCAGGAACACAAACUUGAAUCGUCCAGCGCUCCUUUUCUGGUAAAGUUGCAAUGAAAGUUCUGGUGAGCUUGGUAUGCCGAUGUUCAAUUGACUUCCUUCAAGUGUCGUCCGAAAGGGGUGUCGUCAUCCGGCUGAAUGAACUUGUUCCUGGGGUCCGACAUCUAUAGAGUAGAAAUAGAGAAGAAUUAGAAAUGAGUAGAGAAGAGUAUCAUGUGGCUUCUCCUAGUGGUCGCGUCCUACAGUCAGCGUGUGCUCUGAUACCAUCUUUUAGCGACCCGAUCCCAAUGGAUCAAAUUCUCUAUACUUAAUUGUCAUCCAUGGAUCCAUGCUGACACACACAGUACUCGAGGAAAUAUAACAGAGUCCAAUCACACACUUACAUUGAGGUCCUCAUAAAGAGUAUUUAUUACAAUAAUAUGGCUGAAGGCCAUUUAAUAAAAAUAACUGCGGAAGCUUCAAAGGUAAAUGAGUCCAUCCAACUCCACGUCAAAACUGAGUGCAAGACAACGACCUAUCGCACCUUAAUCCUCGUCUGAAAAUUCUGCAACAUGAGACGUUGCAGCCAUGUAGGUCAGCACAUGGAAUAUGCUGGCAAGAUCACACUAUAGAGCAAUGAUGAACAAUAACUAUCACUACAUGCAUAUUUGGCUUGUGGAGGCUCUAUGUUUAACAUUUGCAUAAAGCUAAUUUUUCCCUACAACAAAGGAAUACAUUUUUAUUUACUAGCAAGUUUAUGCCAUAAUUGAGAAGGCAUCCCCAACUCAAUCCCAAAAUUACCAAGUAAUAAUAAUAUUAAUAACAAUUACCCCACAAAUUCAUUAAGUAAAGUGAUGAGAUCAACCAAUAACUCAAAUACUAGAUACUCAAAAUGUCCAUAACCUGGGACACGGCUAAUCAUGAUUAGUUUGUACACUCUGCAGAGGUUUGCGCACUUUUCCCCACAAGACUCAACCGCAUCCAUGAUCGGAAGAUGAUGAGGACAUCAAUACAAUUGUUACACCCACAGCCCCUACUGCUAUACAUACUGGACCAAUUACUAGAGCUCGUGCACGCCAACUAAAUUACCAGGUACUUUCGUUUCUUGGUAAUGAUUCUAAUGUUCAUGAGAAUAUGAUGCUGCCUAAAUUGGAUACAUUUGUUUUGCUUACAAAUGAAGGGCCUAGCUUGGAGAAGGAUGAACAUUGGAGCAAGAACAAGCAUGGAGAUGAUGACAUGCGCAAGGGGAACAAGAACGGAGUUACAAGUGAUGAUUUCAGGACUUUGAAGCCACCAUAAUGGGUGCAUGAAGCCUUGGACGAAAUAUACAAGAUGCCACUUCAUAAAUUUCGUCCCGAGGCUAUUUUAGGUGCUGCGUCACCUUUUUAUUGGGCCAGGCCCAUGUAAUUUCGAAAUACAUAAGUAUAGGCUAUUUUUAGAGUCCGUAUGUGUGGGGAAACAAGAGAUAGGGUUGAUUUCGGACCCCUCCACCAAGGGCCACGAAAUUCCCCCCUCUUCCUCCAUAUAUACAGCCCUUAGGGCAUCGUUUAGACUUUGGGUUUUGUUUAGAUUAAAAGUUCGCCAUAGCUGCAACUUCGCGUACUUCGUUUGUGUUCAACGACCAGACAAAGGCGUCACAGAACCCCACCUUGAUCAAUAAAGCUUUCAUCUUAUAUUCGCAAUAUCCAGAUUGCAACCUCAGCUUCUUGCUUGUUCUUCGUUUGCUCGCAGGAAACAGACCCUCGUACAGGUUGAUCGUGCUCCAGCGUGGUCAAUAACCUCUCGGAGUUGGUUUAGCGAUUGCUAAGGCGCGAUGUCCUUACACGUUCGUAGUCGGAUCGUCAAAGUCGACUUCCACCAAAGCGAUAUCCAUCAUCUCAUCGAAAGACGGGACACCUUUGCCUCUAUCAAGAAGGCAUGAAAAUAUUGCAACUCAGUUUGCACAUAUAAGUGAAGCUCUUAUUCAUUUCAAAAGAUUGACAAUGUUCAUCAUUAAACCAUCCCAACAUUGGUGAAUAAACCUUACUUGCAUCAAAUUUACAUGCUACAACAUGCUUAAAUAAGCAAACAUGCAAUAAGUCAUUCAACACAGAAUCAUCACCAAGAUUAGAGGUCAUAUCAAAAUGAUUAAACAUUGGUUCUUUUGCAUCAAUAGUUAAUUCAAUGGGUGCACUCAAAAUUGUUGGUAUUUCAGUUGUUUGAUCACAUGGCAAAGUCAAAUUAUCAACGUAGUCCUCUAAAAUAGGUGGUGUGAUCAAAGUAGUGGGUAGCUCAUCAGAUGGUGCAUUCAAAUUGACAAGGCAUUCAUCAUUCUCAUGUAGAGAUGGAAGAUCAGUACCUUUGUCAUUACCUCUUAUGAUCAACUCAGAUGAUGUAGCCACUCUCGGGGGCGAUGUGUCACAUGGUGGAGGUGAUGUAGUCCUGACAACAACGGAUGUGGUUGUCAUAGUAUGCCUAGUAGUUGAAGUAACAAUCAUAUCAACUCUUGGAAUGUGCACCAUGCGCUUGUUCUCCUCGUGGCCAACACGUCGUUUUAUUUCCUGUUCAGCUUUGCAAGCAAGAUGAAACAAAUGGUCCAUAGGAUAACACUCUUCAUGAAUUAGUAUCUCUUGAAUAUCACGGUUUAAUCCUCCCCAAAAUCUAUCCAUAAAAUCAUCUUCACUUUCUUCUAAAGAGGAAUGCAACAAGGUAGUUUGUAAAUCAUCAUAAUAUUUUGUUACAGUUUCACUACCUUGUUUUAACUGUUGCAACUUCUUAAUCAUGUCACGAGUAUAAUAAGCAGGGACGAAAGUAUGUCGCAUGGCAAGUUUCAAAUCAUCCCAAGUAGUAGGUAUAUAAUCAGGGUGUAACCAACAAUAUUCACUCCACCAAACCAAAGCAUAACCAGUGAAAGAACCAACCGCAACCUUAACCUUUUUAUGUUCAUUGAAAUUAUGGGAAGCAAAUAUAUUUUUUAUGUCGAACUCCCAUUCAAUAUAUAAAGCAGGUUUAAAACGGCCAUUAAAUGGUGGUAUAGAUACAUUAACCUGAUGAUGUGCAUUUGGAUGUUUGUGCACCUCUCGUGACGGUUGUGGUAUUUGCAAAGGUGGUGGCACGUCUCCCGCGAUCGACAAAGCCCAUGAAUUGACUCUAGAUCCUGUCAUGAUUAGUAGAACAAGAAACAAAACCCAAAAAUAAUGUUCCUAUAACUACUAGGAUGUGGUGGUAAAACGCUCACAGUAAAGCAAAUAUCAAUGUCUUACAAGUUCUUACCAUGCAGCAGGCGGUGAUCGGCAACCAGCGGUGUCAAGUAACUCCGAAUAUUGAGUAAAGCGAUUGCCAGGGGAGCGUACGUAUACACGGUGUAGAAAUAUGUGGAGCUGGGUUGGCUAUAUAUGGUAGCAAAAGAUUAGCAAUAAUCAAUUCAAAGAUGCAAUGUUGAAUAAACGCUCAACGACGGUACUGUGCUGGUCCUAGGCUAGACCGGACUAGAGACGCGAGCCUAGAACACUAAUAAGGUCACGGCGUAGCACAACUAGCACCAAUGAAGGAUACUAAGUAGCUCUUGACAGCAAGAUAUAAGUGAAGAUCACAACGGCAGUGAAGAUAAUGAUGAAAAACAACUGCCAAGCAGGAUAUAUAACAACUCUCUCUUCAACUUUCCUCUUGAAAAGUUUGCUACUAACUCAAGCUUUCCAAUGCAAAAAGAAUCACCCAAUUCUGAAUUGAUAUGAGGAGUCAAAGAAUUUUAAAACUGGCCUGAAAAAUUGGAACAAGUUGUGUUCACGAACUUCGGAGAGCAAAAAGACAUAUUUGGAAGACGAUUUUGAGGUGUCAAAUAUUGAACUAGCUUCUGCAACUAUUUACAUGCAUCUCGUCGCUAGCUUCAAUUUGAGUACUCACGGAGCCAAAACGGACUUCAUAUGAGGAAGAUACACCUGUUUUACUGAACAGUGCGCAAAAUAGAUUCUAAUCCAAAUUCAGGUACGAGAUUGAUUCUAGAUAGAUCUGAUUUUUUUCUUCUUCUCUCUUUUUUUCCUCACGCUUUUUUUUUCUUUUUCUUCUCUCUCUUUUUCUUUUUUUUUUCUUUCCUUUUUUUCUCUCUUUUUUCUCUCUUUUUUUUCUCCCUCUUUCCAAGACAAACUAGAUAAGAUGCAGAUUGGAUCAGGCAAAGAUGUGAAUGACCUCAACUAUGAUUAUGACAAUGAACAACGCGUAGCACGUGGUGGAAAUUAAUAGAUGGGAUGGUGGACAGCGGAAGGGAUAAUGAUGCAGCGGCGGCGUGACUAAUGUGAACAGAACUCGAAACUCUAAAGGAACUAGACACUAAGACCAGCAACUGACACGACGAUGCAACCGAUAAUUCAACUAUGCAAGCAACGAAUAGAAAAUUGCAAAGGCUCAGACUGGCUUGGAUAAAGGAUGAACAGAUCUAACUUUUUUUUGUGGCUUUUUCAUGAACUAUAGGUAUGAAUGACAGAUGCGAUGUAAACUAUGAAAAACUGUAAAAUCUCACCGAGCAACCUGAAAACUGAUACCACUUGAUAGAGGC
rnacentral:lncRNA from 1 species